GAUGAACGCUGGCGGCGUGCCUAAUACAUGCAAGUCGAGCGAACAGACAAGGAGCUUGCUCCUUUGACGUUAGCGGCGGACGGGUGAGUAACACGUGGGUAACCUACCUAUAAGACUGGGAUAACUUCGGGAAACCGGAGCUAAUACCGGAUAAUAUUUCGAACCGCAUGGUUCGAUAGUGAAAGAUGGUUUUGCUAUCACUUAUAGAUGGACCCGCGCCGUAUUAGCUAGUUGGUAAGGUAACGGCUUACCAAGGCGACGAUACGUAGCCGACCUGAGAGGGUGAUCGGCCACACUGGAACUGAGACACGGUCCAGACUCCUACGGGAGGCAGCAGUAGGGAAUAUUGCACAAUGGGCGCAAGCCUGAUGCAGCCAUGCCGCGUGUAUGAAGAAGGCCUUCGGGUUGUAAAGUACUUUCAGCGAGGAGGAAGGCAUUAAGGUUAAUAACCUUAGUGAUUGACGUUACUCGCAGAAGAAGCACCGGCUAACUCCGUGCCAGCAGCCGCGGUAA
rnacentral:rRNA from 1 species